UCUGGAGCCACUGGUUCACCUGGUCAACUCACCCUCAGCAACUCCCAGCUCCAAGCAGAGCAGAAGAGCAGGCAGUGGGGUAAAAGGGAGUUAUGCAUGCACUUGUCCUAAGCUCCCUCUCUGUUCCCAGCCCCCACACUCAGCUGCCCACUGGUUCCUGGUGUGGCCUUUGGGCAUUAGAGGAACAGACGGCAUACUGUACUCAGGCAUGAAUGAGCCUUUGCUGCUCCUCUAUCGCCGCAGCCCGUUUCAAAGGGCAGUCAGUACUCAACCUGAGCACUGCCUCUCUGAAUCCUCACCUCCCUGGACCAAAAGAUAAGGAAAGGGCCAAGGAGUCAAGGUGUGGGCGGGCAGCAAAGAGGCUCACGGAGCCCGAAGAAAAGUAUCACUUCGAUCGACAGGGCGGAGAGAUCGAUUUCAUCCAGGCUGCGAGCUGGGGAGUCGCUAGCCAUGUCGACUCUUCGCGGGAGAAAUGGACCAAACCAGCCCGAAGAGUCUGCCUUGGCAAGUCCACCCUGGUCUAUUUCGCUCGCGUCCUCAUGCGGCUGCCCGCCAGAGAGGCCCGGGGCCCAGCCUCCCCCGCCCACCCGGGCCCCCAACCAGAGUCGGAUUCCGAUCUUCCGUGAGCGUCGAUCCGCGGGUUCCCGGAGCCCGACCUGCGCGGACCUCCAAGCCGGGAGCCGCGCAUGAACUCAUCAGUGAUGGUAUGAAGAUGCAGUGCCCCUGGAAAGUGCUGAGAACAUGAAGGCCGAGCCCUUGGUGUAGCGCGAUUAGUAAAAACUCAGAAACAGGAACUGAGUUCAACCUAAA